ensembl:snRNA U2 U2 spliceosomal RNA
AUCGCUUCUCAGCCUUUUGGCUAAGAUCAAGUGUAGUAUCUGUUCUUAUCAGUAAACACUUAGGUUUUAAAAACUGAAAAUGCAACAGUUAGGAGAGUAAUAUGAUAGGACAAUAUGUAUUACUCAAUAUUU